CACACCGCCCGUCACAUCAUGAAAGCCGGUUGUACCCGAAGUCGCCGCGUUAACCCGCAAGGGAGACAGGCGCCGAAGGUAUGGCUGGUGAUUGGGAUG
rnacentral:rRNA from 1 species